rnacentral:rRNA from 1 species
UACGGGGGGAGCAAGCGUUGUUCGGAUUUACUGGGCGUAAAGGGCGCGUAGGCGGCCAGUGCAAGUCAGUUGUGAAAUCUCCGGGCUUAACUCGGAAAGGUCAACUGAUACUGCUCGGCUAGAGUGCGGAAGGGGCAACUGGAAUUCUUGGUGUAGCGGUGAAAUGCGUAGAUAUCAGGAGGAACACCCGUGGCGAAAGCGGCUCGUCUGGGACGGUACUGACGCUGAGACGCGAAAGCGUGGGGAGCAAACAGG